rnacentral:rRNA from 1 species
CCUACGGGAGGCUGCAGUGAGGAAUAUUGGUCAAUGGGAGAGAUCCUGAACCAGCCAAGCCGCGUGAGGGAAGACGGCCCUAUGGGUUGUAAACCUCUUUUGUCGGAGAACAAAACCCGGGACGUGUACCGGACUGAGUGUAUCCGAAGAAAAAGCAUCGGCUAACUCCGUGCCAGCAGCCGCGGUCAUACUGAGGAUGCGAGCGUUAUCCGGAUUUAUUGGGUUUAAAGGGUGCGUAGGCGGUCCGUUAAAUCGGCGGGAAAAUUGCGGGGCGCAACCCCGUCGGGCCGUUGAAACUGGCUGACGUUAGUUGGCGAGAAGUACGCGGAAUGCGGGGUGUAGCGGUGAAAUGGAAAGAUAUCG